ACUCUCCAGAUCCCUUACCCCUCAGAUCUAAACACUUGUUUGAAUGGCUACAAAAGGAGGAAAAGUGAAACUGAAAUGAACUUGAAUUCUGUAGUGAUAUACAAGUUCAUUUCCAGCAAGA
rnacentral:snoRNA from 1 species